rnacentral:rRNA from 1 species
UAGGGAAUCUUCCACAAUGGGCGCAAGCCUGAUGGAGCAACACCGCGUGAGUGAAGAAGGGUUUCGGCUCGUAAAGCUCUGUUGUUGGAGAAGAACGUGCGUGAGAGUAACUGUUCACGCAGUGACGGUAUCCAACCAGAAAGUCACGGCUAACUACGUGCCAGCAGCCGCGGUAAUACGUAGGUGGCAAGCGUUAUCCGGAUUUAUUGGGCGUAAAGCGAGCGCAGGCGGUUGCUUAGGUCUGAUGUGAAAGCCUUCGGCUUAACCGAAGAAGUGCAUCGGAAACCGGGCGACUUGAGUGCAGAAGAGGACAGUGGAACUCCAUGUGUAGCGGUGGAAUGCGUAGA